rnacentral:tRNA from 1 species
GCCGCUUUAGCUCAGUGGUAGAGCACCUCACUUGUAAUGAGGGGGUCCGGGGUUCAAAUCCCCGAAGCGGCUCCA